AUCUUGAUGUGGGAAGCCAUCUCUUGCUGUUAGCUUUCAGCAGCUCUUGUGUCUGCGGUUGCAGUUGGCCUUCUAGAAGUGCUUCCAUGUGAAAGCUUUAUCUGGAUGAAGGGAGGGACAGACCAGUUGUAGUGCCAGGACUUCAUGAAACCUUGUGUUUCUGGGCAAAACCCCACUGUCUGUGCGCAAAUGCAGGAGGAGAUAGAAAAGGAAAGGUGCAGUCCAGAGGCAGCAGAUUCACAGCCUGUGUGUUUUGGACUCCCCGUGUGCAGUGCUCAAGGAAUAUAGCUCUGUAUUUCCUUUCGGGAUUUCUCAAACAUUCUUCUUAUCUGUCACGUAUGGGAGCAACCAAAUCAGUUCAAAAUCCUGAACAGAAGCAGGAAUGACAACAUUACUGGAAAAACUGUUUUUAGCUGAUUGGGAACUGUUUGGUGCUGUUUGCUCCCUGCCUGUCAAAACACAAAUCACUACGAGUCAAGCAGAGUCUUCAUUUGCAUUCAUGCUUUGCUGUGGCUCUCAGCUACUUUCCUGGGUGGAAAAGGAAGCAGGAUAUACUCCAGAGGCUACAGAUCUGCAAGAAUACUAGAAUAUCUUGUCUGACUUUUGUUUAGUAAUAGGUGCCUCAGGCACCCGAGGUUUGGGAAGAGAUGAAAGCCUCCAGGAAUAUAUUCAGAGUGCUGAUGGCCUGGGCUGUCACUGGGUGUUAGGCAUAUGAGCUUUGGACCUAUGAGACCUGCACCCACUUCCUCAAGGGAGACCAGACCAAGUCUGAAUGUUUUCAGGGGAAGUUAAGGUCAAGCAGGAUUAUCUAAAAUGUUCAAGCAAACAAGGCAGAUGAGUCCCACUGAAUUAGAAUAAAACUGUAGAUGUUAACGUAGGAACUUUCACAAAGAAAAUCUCUAGGAGGAAUAUCUCAAAUACUGUAUGGGGAAACACAGUCAGCUUUUUGUGGUGUGGUGUGGUAUGGUGAGCUUCCUCUGUGCCUGGCAAUAUUCCUUUUCUAGCUCAGAAUUUACUUUCUUGCUGUUUUCAUAAAAAGUGGUGUAUUUUAGCCCGCUCUUGCUCUGCCUGAAGUCAUGCUCAAUCCACAUCAGCUGGUGUAUAGCUUCAGAAAGCUUGCCUGUUCUUUUCCUUAAUUUCAUAGCUGGCUUGGUAACGAUACUGUAAUUCUCUAGAAAAUUUGUUUUGCUUACACACUGGUAUGCAAGCAUUUUCCUUAUCAGUUUUAUCUUUUUCUUUCAAAUCACUUAAUGCAGCCUGAGAUCCUUCAGACCAUACUCUGGAGGUGCAGCACACUUCCUGGGGAGGGAGGGACCCUGAAGCUGAUGGGGAGAAAAAUACAGCCCCAAAACUGCUUCUUGGGGUGGACAAGGAACCCCUGAUCAGCAAGGAACGCUACAACAUAGAGCAAGAGAGAGUUUUUAUCAUUCCUGACACAAACAUUCUUUUGAAACAGUUCCUGUAGCCACGGGCAAGCUGCAGGUGAAGUCAGUGCUAAGUGAAAUUCCUGGCUUUUCUCACCUGUGCGUCAUGAAAAAAGGCACAGGUGUAUUAGUAAAAGCAACACCACCGACCACAGGUGAGGUAAAGGGCUGAUUUAUACCCACACUCAUGCCUGCAUGGCCUCAGCAGAAGCACGUGAGGGGCAUUGGCAGCGUUUGGCCCCUCUCCAGCAGUUUAUUGGGUGCAAACAUAUUCAGCAAUAAUUCUUUGACAGUUUAUUAAGAGAAUAAUGAUAAGAAAAGCACGAAGUCAGAACUGUGUUCAAAAGAGAAAGGUUGUGUUGCCGGCUCCUAUAACAACAGGUUAGUGGAAAAAUUGCCUCUGUCUGUGGAGACUUUGUGUUUACCAGAUGUUCUGUAUUUGAAAGUCCUGCAAUUAGCCUUCAAAGAGGUAAAUUAGCCGUGAUUCGUUUCAGAGUUAAUCAUUACUGUUACAUAUUUGAAACACCACCUGGUAUUUGCAGCGUAAUUAAUGAUAUAUGACUCCUGCACAGUGGUUUUAAACAAUCUUUAGCAAUGUCUAUCAUUUGAAUUAGGAAAGAUAAUGCUAUCUGCACCCGUAAAACAAAUGCUCUGGCUGUGCUUUUCCAUCCAUUCAUAAACUCUCUCUCUUUUGGUACAUCUUUGUAACAAAUUAGCCAAGGUGAAACUGCAAAAAAUGCUUCAAGAAAUAGAAAUGUGAAACUUCAUCAGAUCUAGGCUGAGCUCAUGUUACUAUCAAUUGCAGGCAAACAAACCUCCUACAGAUAUACUGUAUCCACAGCACGUAAUUCCUAGUAAUACGAAUCAUGCAACAGCAUGGUCCAACAGCAAGUUAAUAUUUCCACAAGGCCACCCUACUCCUAGGAAAUAGGAAAUGCUCUGAAGCAGUGAUUUUUAACAGCUGUCUGCAUUAGCUGAAGCGUGCACCCGAGCCAGGUCUAAAGUCCUCCGCAACUCUCACUCUGGAGAAUUUUCUGGAAAAUAAAUAGAAUUUUGGAAUUAAAGUCUCUGUAACACUAAAAGCUCUGACAGCCUGAUCCAGAGAGAGACCUUAGAAGGAAAAAACUCCUCUUGAAUUCAUCUGUAUUUCAUGCUCAUUAUGCUCCAGUGUAUUUGGAAAGGGAAAACAUUGUGGAUUUGGAGCUUUACAUCUUCUGCAGAGCAAAAUGCCGAGGCUGAGGAGAUCGGCGCUGGACCAUCCCUACAAGGGUGCAGCUUUCCCCACGUGUUUCUGCUGGCCUUGUACCUCGGAGGCCUGGGGGUGUCAGUGACAGUGUAUUUGCUUUGGUAUUCGUGUGCUGUCCCACAUUCACUGUGAGAUCUGAAGAUGUGCUGUAUCCAUAGAGCUCUGGUGACGUCAGUGGGGUGAACGCACAGAAACCAGCCACGCUAGCAAAAUCCCUUUUGUGCUGCUGUCAUCGCCUGGGAACAAAAGCUCGAGCAGAAAAACCCUAAAUUGUUGAUAGCAUUACCGCAGCUAACAACUAAACAAACACAUCUUGCAGCUUCUCAAAAAGUCACCUGCUGAGCAGUAUAGAAGCACAGGGUGGCUCCAAGUUAUGUGCCCAGCAGGGAAGUUACCCCACGGGUAACUGUGCUGGUGUGGUGCCCAGGUCACGGGUACUUUGGGGAUAAAUACCUAGCUAGGCUUGCCCAUGAAAGUGAAUCUGAGAGGGGUGCAAGGAGAGCAGGGAUUACUGGUCAUCCUCAGAGAGGGCUGAGAUUUACUGGUGGGGUCCCACAAGCCAGAGGGAAGCACAGAUAUGCCUCGUCUUCUGUUGGGACUGACUGCAAAUUUUCUUGAAGCUUUAACCCCUGUACUAGCCUGUCAGAUGGACGCAAAUAUGAAGGCAGCACGUGACAGCAGGGGCAUGGGCCACCUCACUCCAGGUAGGGGUUUUCCAACAGCAGUUGUACCUCUGGAGCUCUGUGUCUCACCCCACGUUGUGGUGAGCUCCACGUCUGCAGCUCAGCGAAAAUGCUGUUGUCACAGGAGUUUCCUUCACACCAAAGUGAACUCCAUACGAAUUUUGGGAGCUCUCCCUUCCAGAUGGGUGUGUGAGCUUGAUUUCUAGACACUGUGCAGCUGAUGGGUAGAAACUGGCACAAGUAGGAGGGUGACUCACUGCUCUCUGGGCACAUGGGCCUGGGAUGAGCCGAUCGCUGUUUUUUACUGAUGGCAU